UACGAAGGGGGCUAGCGUUGCUCGGAAUUACUGGGCGUAAAGCGUGCGCAGGCGGUUCGUUAAGUCAGCUGUGAAAGCCCCGGGCUCAACCUGGGAAUGGCGGUUGAAACUGGCGAACUAGAAUCUGGCAGAGGGGGGUGGAAUUCCACGUGUAGCAGUGAAAUGCGUAGAGAUCGGGAGGAACACCUGUGGCGAAGGCGGCCACCUGGGCCGACCCUGACGCUGAGGCGCGAAGGCGUGGGGAGCGAACGGG
rnacentral:rRNA from 1 species